UUCGACACCUCCUUUGUCAUUCUAUCUGUAUUAGUAACUGAGGAGUUGUAUUCGCGGUCGGACGGACAGACAGUCAUGAAACCAGAAGUAUAUAUUUGUUCUCGUCUUGCGAAUGCGCGUCGAAUAAUAUAUCACUUGUGCUAUUGCGGUGACUUUAAAAGAGUACUUCCGGUCGCAUUUCUAAAACCGGAAGUCCUAGGUCAAAUUUCCCACCUUUAGUACCAUCCAUGUAUUAUGAGCUUUCAUUCGACACCUCAUUUGUGAUUCUACAUGGUAUAGUGACGGAGGAGUUACAUUUCCGGUCGGACGGACAGACAGUCUAGGUCAAAUGUCUCACCUUGAGUACCAUCCAUGGAUUAUAAGCUUUCAUUUGACACCUCAUUUGUCAUUCUACCUGGUAUAGUGACUGAAUGAGUUAUAUUCGCGGUCGGACGGACAGACAGCCUAUUAGGUCACACCAAGUCGUUCAAAUUCUCACCAACUUGUUCACACUUUUUCAAAAUUGGUGAAAACAACAAAUUAUAUUUUGUAUCGUUGUAUCAAUAUAAGCCAAAAAGAAUAAUUAGUGAAUGUCACGCCACUAUAAUAUAUUUUAUUAUUGGUCUUUCAAUGCUAAAAUCAGGAUAAAAAAGGUAUUUUAUCCAUGGUUUUAAUCAAUAUAAUUCUCACCAUUACUUUGUGUUGUAUUUGCAACCUUUUGUAAAUCAAAAAUAAUUCCACCAUAUUAAGAAUGUCAACAAAAGCCGGCCCUGCAUGCAACCUUUCUCUCAGUGCAACUAAAAUUUUAUUGAUACACGCCAGAAAUGUGUGAGACUUUUCUCAGUGUACUCGCGUGUACACUUGCCAACUCGAUACUAAAAUUAAGUACAUGCUAACAACAAAAGAAUCGCCGUCCGUGUCGGUUCUUGUGAGAGAUAUGUAUUCUUUGGUUUCUACUGAUAAUAAUAUACUAUUCUCAAUAUGGCUACAUGGCUACUGGGUGUAAAAGAUAAAUCUUAUUCUAUCUGUUCUUCAUGAGUUUUAGAUAAUUUUAGUUGUAUUUCUUUGUAAUUUUGUGUUGUACAAAGAUUAAUUUAAAAUUUUCUCUGGAAGUAUUAAUUUAGAAAGAUAAUAUGCUUCAUUGGUGUUGUGUUUUGAAGUGUGAAAUGCAAAGUAAUUGUGAUAAAGUCAAGAUAAAGUUCACUUUUAAACUGAACUAAAUAAGGUAUCUGAGAGACAACAAUGGUUAAAUGCAAUACAAUGUACAGGUUUUACUAGCGAAAUGAAAAUUUUCCUGUCCUGUCUGCUGUAAUCAUUUUAUAUCUGGUAAGUUACAAUUACAACAGUAACGAUUUUUGAAGAUGUUAACAUUUUAAUCUUAUAGGAAAAUAGGAAAACCAGCCGACUUAAUCGAUAAUAACAAUCUCCAGAUUGGGUUCCUUCAAUAAAUAUGGGCUAUAAACACAAUGAAAUAAGUUCCCCAAAAUCUAAAAUGGAGUGCUAUCAAAGGAGAAUUAAAGGAAAAAAUAUUCAUAUUGAAAUUAUUUAUAAGGCACUGGACUGUCUUAAAUUCUACAAUAAUACUAGAAUCAGCUGAGAGAAGUGGUCUACAAAAAACCAGGAAGGAAACGGAAUAUGUGGCUACGAAAGGCAAAAGAAAGGUUUACAAAGCAAAUGUGACAUAUUUUUUUGAAAUAUUUAGGAAUAUCAGUAAAUUGCAUUAAAAAAUGUAUGAAAAGAUUUUGUUCAAUAAAAAUGUUUAUAUUUA